AAAUAAAUGCAUCCUUGCAAGUCACUUCAAGCUUUGUACGCUGCAAAAGACCGAAUCCUCUGUCGCUGAAAUGACUGAAAUUUCGAGGAGUGGAUCGCUGCAUUUUUUAACUGCUUUUCGCUUCCGUUUUUCAUCAAUUCAUUUUAGGUUUUUCUGAUGACUCUACGAAUUCAAAAAUCAGCUCAAAGACAAAGUCGAAUGGAAAUAAUAAUGUAGGGACCAAGUUAGCUAUCAUAUUGGUUGGGCUGGCUGCUGUGGGGUUGUUUUCGUUUUUUCUUUUCAAGGUAUGGCA